GUCACCGUGUUGAUCACUUAACUUGUAAUUACUAUUUUCCAUUUUAUGUAUUAAACCACUUCCCACUGCUUACCCAUGUUYUUUUGCUGUAUUUUAGGUUGUAAGAAAAAAGGAGGAGUUUAUGAUUAAAGCUCUGGACAAAGACUGUGUAGACUGAAGUUGCUAUUAGUGUAGUACUUGCUCUGCCACAAACUCCUGAGAUGACGCUGUGACUUCGAGAGCUCCAAAGCUGUUCUGCAGACAGAUGCACAAUUGUGAAAUAUCAAUAUGGACUGCAAAUCUCUAAUGUUAGUGAGCUCCUUUUCUCCACUGUACAAUGUAAACCCUAUCUCCGCAAUGCUGUACAGAUACACAUUUGCAAAGAUGUUUUUCUGGAGAUGC